UUUUAGCACUGAUGCUCUUCCAAGAUAUCAGCAUCAACUGGCAUUGCUGGCAUUCAUCUUUUGGGUGAGACUAUGGCUGGAAUCCUCUCUGUCUUUCAAAGCAAACACUACAGCAGGACACUGCAGUCUGGGACGUCUCUUGACCCGUGUGCACAGAUGAUGAACAAUUUCUCCUUUCUGGGUUGGAUUCUUUGCCUCAUGGUGCAGAAGUUGUCCUGAAAACAUGCCAGGAAACCCAAGUCAUAGAGAAGUGCUCUGGAGCUGGAGUGAGAAGGACAUGCUUGAUGAAACAUGUCAAGCUACAUUAUAUUGUAGGACUGCCUAAUCAAAAGGGCCUGCAAGAAGAAUUGGGUUAUUUCAUGAAGG